UCCGGCUUAUCACCGGCAGUCCCUCUAGAGUGCCCAACUCAAUGCUGGCAACUAAAGGCGAGGGUUGCGCUCGUUGCGGGACUUAACCCAACAUCUCGCGACACGAGCUGACGACAGCCAUGCAGCACCUGUGCUAGCCCCCGAAGGACACGGGCUUUCACCCGCUUUAACUAGCAUGUCAAGCCCAGGUAAGGUUCUUCGCGUUGCAUCGAAUUAAGCCACAUGCUCCGCCGCUUGUGCGGGCCCCCGUCAAUUCCUUUGAGUUUCGGUCUUGCGGCCGUACUCCCCAGGCGGGGCGCUUAAUGCGUUAGCUACGGCACGGAAAACAUGAAUGCUCCCCACACCUAGCGCCCAACGUUUACAGCGUGGACUAC
rnacentral:misc_RNA from 1 species